UAUAAUUAAACUUGUGUACACGUGGUGUUCGUUAGUUACCCUGUGAUGUCGUUGUCGUUCAUGGACAACAUGUCUUCAAUCUUCUGCCAUAGAUCCUUGACAUAGGCCAUUGGAACAUUUCUGUCUCAAUGGUAUUGUGACCAUCAUGAGUAGGAAAGGUGAAUGGGGUUAACUCGGUACAUAUAUUCUCUCCUACAUACUGCUCCGAUUCUGCCCGCUAUCUCUACUCCCCACUCAAUAAGAUGCAGGUCCACUAAUGCUUCCCCGGCAGGAAUUGAAAUGGAGCUUAUCAAUGAGUGCCUGCUGCGGUCACCUCAUUUGCCAGCUGAGUAUACACCACUGAUCCUUUUCCUUUGAAGUCUAAGUUCAGAGGAACGACGUCGCACAGUUCGAGAACCUGACUUGCAUUAGUGUGAUGGGCUAUUUGCGUAAUAAAUAUGUGCAUAAUGUAAUGAUUAUACCUGUCCUCUUGUCUGUAAUUGUAGUGUUUGUAAUUGUAGUGUUUGGGAAUUUUCUGAGGAUAAACUCCGUGUCACGAGAGAUGCUUGGAGUUUCUUCUCUACUGGUGUUAGGGGUACGUUUGAUGGCUUUUUUAACACAUGUUCUAUGUUAGGCUUCGAAUGAAGGCCAGGACUGCUUCUGGAGGUUGCCUGACUGUCAAAAUCAGCCACAUGAUCAGUGCCACAACAGGGACAAGAAAUAGCUUCGGCUUUUCGUAAGCUCUGACAGCAGCAUUCAGCACAUGCAUACUUCUGGCACGUCGUGAACUCAAUAGGCAGUGAGGAGCACAAGUAACACUUUAACUCGCCAGCCUGUGGAGAGAUGUUGGGUGGUCUGCCAGCUUUGAAGAGUUUCUUUCGUCUCCCUGAUUGCCGAACACGGCUCGUGUGUGUGUGUGUGUGUGUGUGCGUUGUGGGGUGUGUGUUUGCCCCCUGUGUGUGCGUGUGUGUGUUUGCCCCCUGUGUGUGUGUGUGUGUGUGUGUGUGUGCCCUGUGUGUGCGUGUGCGUGUGUGCGUGUGCGUGUGUGUGUGUGUGUGUAUGUGUGUAUGCCCCCUGUGUGUGCGUGUGUGUGUUUGCCCCUGUGUGUGUAGUGUGUGCAUACCCUUUGUGUGCGUGUGUGUGUGUGUGUGUGUGUGUGUGUGCGUGUGUGUGUGUAUGUGUGUAUGCCCCCUGUGUGUGCGUGUGUGAGUGUGUGUUUACACCCUGAGUGUGUGUGUGUGCCCCUGUGUUGUGUGCCCCCUGUGCGUUCCCUGUGUGUGCGUAUGUGUGUGUGUGUGUGUGCCCCCUGUGUGUGCGAGUGUGUGUGCGUUGUGGUGUGUGUGUGUGUGUUUGCCCCCUGUGAGUGUGUGUGCGUGUGUGUGUGAGUGUGUGUGUGCCCUGUGUGUGCGUGUGUGUGUGUGUGCCCCUGUGUGUGUGUGAGCCGUGCGUGUGUGGUGUGUGUGUGUGCCCACUGUGUGUGCGUGUGUGCCCCAUGUGUGUGUGUGUGUGUGUGUUGUGUGUUGUGGGUGUGUGUGUGCCCCUGUGUUGCCAUGUGUGUGUGUGGUGUGUGUGUGUGUGUGAGCGUGUGUGUGUGAGUCUGUGUGUUCCCUGUGUUUGCGUAUGCGUAUGUGUGUGUGUGUGUGUGUGCCCCCUGUGUGUGCGAGUGUGUGUGCGUGUGUGUUUGCCCCCUGUGAGUGUGUGUGCCUGUGUGUGUGCGUGUGUGUGUGUGUGCCCCUGUGUGUGUGUGAGCCGUGCGUGUGUGGUGUGUGUGUGUGCCCCCUGUGUGUGCGUGUGUGCCCCAUGUGUGUGUGUGUGUGUGGUGUGUGUGUGUGUGUGUGUUGUGAGUGUGUGUGUGUGCCCCUGUGUUGCCAUGUGUGUGUGUGUGUGUGUGUGUGUGUGGUGUGUGUGUGUGUGUGUGUGAGCGUGUGUGUGUGUGUGCCCCUGUGUGUGUGUGUGAGUCUGUGUGUUCCCUGUGUUUGCGUAUGCGUAUGUGUGUGUGUGUGUGUGCCCCCUGUGUGUGCGAGUGUGUGUGCGUUGUGGUGUGUGCGUGUGUGUGUGUGUCACAUGUGUUGUGUGCUCCCUGUGUGUGUGUGUGUGUGCCCUGUGUGUGCAUGUUGUGUGUGCCCCUGUGUGUGUGAGCCGUGCGUGUGUUGUGUGUGUGUGUGUGUGUGUGGGUGUGUUUGUGGGUGUGUGUGUGCCCCAUGUGUGUGUGUGUGACCCCUGUGUGUGCCCCAUGUGUGUGUGUGGUGUGUGUGUGGGUGUGUAUCCCCCUGUGUGUGCGUGUGUGAGUGUCUGUGUUUGCCCCUGUGUGUGUUUGUAGUAAGCACAAGGCUAACUGGGUUGGAUGGAACCUCGUCCGCUGAAGCAUAAAAUUGACUCAAACGGAAUGCACAUUAGAUUUUUAAUGAAGGAAUAAUUAUUAUAGUUUUUCCGGUCUUCAGAGGAGCAGUCCACAAAUUUCGGUCCCUUUAAUUUCCUGACUUGUGGAUAGCUCAAGGAAAGGCGGGACCAUACAUGCGGAGUCCGGGUGUGGCUGUCAAACCAUAGACUCUAUGGUUAAACACCACAAAACAUGCAGUUGUCUUAUUCAAAUAUUUUUGUUUAGGAAGCACUCUAUGUGCAACCUUAUAAUUAUUGUAUGUAAUGAGUUUUAUUAAUUAUAGUAACAAUAAUUAUUAUGGUUUUUCCGGUCUUCAGAAGAGCACCAGACCCGUCAUUGCCAGUCCACAAGUUUCGGUCCUUUUAAUUUCCUGACUUGUGGAUAGCUCAAGGAAAGGCGGGACCACUCCUGUACAUGCGGAGUCCGGGUGCGGCUGUCAAACCAUAGACUCUAUGGUUGAACACCACAAAACAUGCAGUUGAAAAGCAAGCUAAAUUUCUUAUUCAAAUAUUUUUGUUUAGGAAGUACUCUAUUAUAAUUAUUGUGUGUAAAUUGUUAUGUAAUUAAGAUAAGCAAAAUGUAACCCACGUGACAACGUCAGUUUCUUUUUUUUCCAUUGUGAGCAGUUCUGUCUAGCCAGUUUUUUAGUACCAUGACGAUUAUGUUUAGGCGCAUGUGAUUCCCGAUGUAUCAUCUUACUUUAGGCGUUUUGUGGCUUGUAGCUACAUGUACAAUCAGUAUAAGAUCUAACCUUGGUUCUGACAAUGAAUUUUCAUUAGUCAAUAUAGAUGUGUGUGUGUGUGUGUGUGUGUGUGUGUGGGUGGGUGGGUGGCUGCGUGUGUGCAAGUG